GUUACUUUAUAGUAAGCAUACAGCAAGUACUCAUUACAUAUAUAGAGAUGGUAAAAGAAAUUAGCCUGCGUACAUCUUUGAGCUUGGGGAUUUCCUUUUAUCUAUCUAAGGACCGCUAGCCACUAUUCGACCAAGGCAUUCUAGCUUCAAAUGGUAUGGUAGGCCUCAUGUGAGCUGUACCCGUCCCAAGCCUCCCAGAAAGGUCCCCAAGUCACCUCAUAAGGUUGGAAGUAGUUCUUUUGUUCAUAGUGUACCUUGCUUAUGGAUAUGAUGACGGCAGUGCUCUAUCAUACAUUCUUCUUACAAUGACCAGUUGGUUCAUGGCACUUUCUUGGCUUUUUGCUCCUUAUUUGUUCAACCCAUGCCCAUCUGGGUUUGAGUGGCAGAAGUAAGUGUCUUAAGAGGAUUCCUAUCAUUUUAAGGGUUUCAAAAGAAUCCCAUUUUGGGCAGUUUGGUAAUCAAAUCUGGGAGUUAACACUGAGUACUAAUGGAAUUGAUAUAUUUGUCUUAAGCUGAAAGAUUGGUGGGCAUUUGGGUGGAGUUUGCUUAGUCUACGUUACGUGAAAUUAGAAGAACUUUUUGUUUCUGGGGAGCGCAAAUGUUUCCAAAGAUUGAUUGGAAUACUAUUGCAGUUGAGAUUAUUGAUUUGCUAGGUAUUUGAAAACAUUGAGAUAAAGUCAUUUAUAUGAGACAUUGAAAGCUUGGAUGAAGUGAAGAAGAGGUUCAAGGAAGAGUAGCUGUUCAGCCUUUAGUGAUAUUGUUCUCAAUGUUGUUCUUGUGUUUUAAUGUAUGAAUGAUUGAGAAAUACUAUGUUUAUGGUACAUUUGAUGCUUUAAUGUAUGGAUUGGAGUACUUGAAUUGAUGAAUUGCAUUCAGAUUUCUUUCUAA